UACGUAGGGUGCAAGCGUUAAUCGGAAUUACUGGGCGUAAAGGGUGCGUAGGCGGCGCGGUAAGUCGGGUGUGAAAUCUCGGAGCUUAACUCCGAAACUGCAUUCGAUACUGCCGUGCUUGAGGACUGGAGAGGAGACUGGAAUUUACGGUGUAGCGGUGAAAUGCGUAGAGAUCGGGAGGAAGGCCGGUGGCGAAGGCGGCGCUCUGGAACGUACCUGACACUGAGACACGAAGGCCAGGGGAGCAAACGGG
rnacentral:rRNA from 1 species